rnacentral:rRNA from 1 species
UUUUAUAUCUUUCUUUUGUAAAAUAUUUAGAUUUUUGAUAGGGUUUGGAAAGGAAUUUAAAAUUUGUUUUUUGAACUGGAUUAGUACCCAGGUAAACAAAGUUUAUUAAUACGGGAGUAAAGUUUUGUUUAAACCGAAAAAAUAUUGACUGACUUUGGAUUUUUCUUUGGAAUAUGUAUUUUUUGGAUGGCCCUCCUUUUUGGUAGAUUUUGUUGGCACAUGUAUGAUUGUUUAGUUUUUAUUUUUUCUUGUGAUGCUUUUCUUUUUGGUUGAAAAACAGAUAGAUAUUUGGCUUAUAAAUUUUGUUUUAUGUAUUACUAUUUUAAAUUUUUUUUGGAUAUUUUUAUUGAAUUUUUUAUUGAAAUUGGAAAAGAAAGUAAUUUUUUUUUAAUGUGGUUGUGAAUUUAAUAAGUGAAGUGGUACAAACCAUCCGUCAA